rnacentral:lncRNA from 1 species
GCGCGGAAGAAUCUUCUAGAAGUUAGUCGAUCUAUUCAUUCAGCGCUCCGUGAAAGGUAAGUAAUGAAUCAUCUUCUCGAGAUAUUCCAUAUUUAUUCUGAAAAUAAAUAAUUAUUCUCUGAAAUUAUGCAUGAUUUAUGAAAUUAUGUUUUUAAAGAAAAGUGCUUUUGAAAUGUUAUGGUAUAUCAAUUUAUGCACAUAUUUAGUGAAAGAUUAUGAUAUAUAUUGUGGUACAAAGUGUUUUGAUAUAGAUCAGAUUUAUGCUCUCGGUCUAACUAUGUUUCAGUGGGCCCCACCAAUGGGGAUUAUACGUUGGUAUUUGUGGACCCUGCCAGUGGGGGUUGUGCGCUGGUGUUUGUGAAUCCUGUCAGUGGGGGUUGUGCGCUGGUAUUUGUGGACCCUGCCAGUGGGGGUUGUGCGCUGGUAUUCUGUGGACCCC